GCAAAGCGAAUGACUGGACAUCAUUAAGUGCGAUCUGCCAUGUGUCUAGCACUGGGUACGUGAGAGUAAGCUGUGUUCUACUCAUGUUCUGUCUCUCUCGCGAGGUACCUUAGUGCAAAGAUGCGCAUCUGAUUGUGUCUUCGGCUGCUCGCUGGGUUGGCAAGAGUGAUGGUCGCUGCCGAACAAGAGUUCCGUCAAGGGGCUYUCUGUACUAGUGGCGCACACAGUGGCUAAUUGCGCACUCCGGUGUGCUUUGGUUGUGUAUCAGGCCAACCCAGUUACGAAAAGGCCUAACUUUGACCGUCGGUCUCCGAAUUAUGGCAGCAUCUGCUGGUAAUGUGGUUGGUGAGGCCGGUCAUGUGGAUGUACUGGCGCGAGUACGGCAAUCGAAGAAGGCAGCCAAUGGCUUGUGCAGCAUUCGAACCGUCUUGAAACACGGAC
rnacentral:rRNA from 1 species